CCUGCUCACAAAAAACAGUCACUAAGAAGAGGAAGGCAUUGGCAGGUCCUGGAGCAGUUAAAAACCCAAGAGUUAAGACUGGUGAUUGCGGGACUUGUGCUGCACUCACUUUUACAGUCAUGUAUCAGCACAUGCUUGUUCUGGAAUUUUUUUUUUUUUUAUGGUUUGUGAGGAUUGGAAUAUAGAAGUUGGCAAGAGACAUUUAGGAAGACUUGUACGACCAGUCACUUAUAGCACCAACAAAACUUUGCAGCACUUGAUACACUGACAUAAAUAGGGUUAUUCACUAGAGUGAAACAAUUCAAAGUGAAUUUUGAGGCAAAUGUGAAGAGUGAAGCAAAUUUAAGGCCAAAGUAGCUAAACUGAAAGCGUAGCAUAAUUGGAAUUUUUUCCAUUUU